rnacentral:rRNA from 1 species
GACGAACGCUGGCGGCGUGCUUAACACAUGCAAGUCGAACGAUGAAGCUGGAGCUUGCUCUGGCGGAUUAGUGGCGAACGGGUGAGUAACACGUGAGAAAUCUGCCCUUGACUCUGGGAUAACUGCGGGAAACUGUAGCUAAUACCGGAUACUUUCCCUGGUGGGCAUCCACUGGGGAAGAAAGAAUUUCGGUCAAGGAUGAUCUCGCGGCCUAUCAGCUUGUUGGUGAGGUAAUGGCUCACCAAGGCGACGACGGGUAGCCGGCCUGAGAGGGUGACCGGCCACACUGGGACUGAGACACAGCCCAGACUCCUACGGGAGGCAGCAGUGGGGAAUAUUGCACAAUGGGCGCAAGCCUGAUGCAGCAACGCCGCGUGAGGGAUGAAGGCCUUCGGGUUGUAAACCCCUUUUAGCAGGGAAGAAGCGAAAGUGACGGUACCUGCAGAAAAAGCACCGGCUAACUACGUGCCAGCCGCCGCGGUAA